AGAUACCCCACUAUGCCUAGCCGUAAAUUUGAACUACACUUAAAACGCCAGGUACUACGAGCCGAGCUUAAAACCCAAAGGAUUUGACGGUGUUCCACCCUACUAGAGGAGCUUGUUCUAUAAUCGAUGAUCCACGAUAUACCUAACCAUUUUUUGCUAUUCAGCCUGUAUACCUCCGUUGUAAGCUCACCGCUUGAGUGAGAAAAAGUAAGCAAAAGGGCCUAAAGCCAAAACGUCAGGUCAAGGUGCAGCUUAUAAAAUGGAAGAAUGGGCUACAAUUUCUAAUUUAGAAUACACGAAUUACUGCAUGAAACAAAGUCAUGAAGGUGGAUUUAGUAGUAAGUGAGGAAUAGAGAGCCUCACUUAAUUUAGCCCUGGGAAGCGUACAAACCGCCCGUCACCCUUUUCGAUAGCUUCAUUAAUAGUUAAAUAACCUAUUCACCGCGUUUUAGAAGAGGCAAGUCGUAACAUGGUAAGUAUACUGGAAAGUGUUCUUGGAAUAACAAAAUGUAGCUUAAUAAAAGCUCUCCGCUUACACCGGGAAAAUGUCCGUGCAACCCAGACCAUUUUGAGCCCCAAAUUUAGCCUUAUGUUACUUUAUAAAUUUAACAGUCUUAAAUUUAUUUAAUAAAACAUUUUAACUCCUUAAGUAAAGGCGAUUGAAAAAGAUCUAAGCGCUAUAGAAACAGUACCGCAAGGGAAAAAUGAAAUAAUAAUGAAAUAAUUAAAGCUACUUACAGCAGAGCAUUUACCUCGUACCUUUUGCAUCAUGGCCUAGCAAGACUUAACAAGCAAAACGAAAUUUAAGUUUUAAAUCCCGAACCUAGGCGAGCUACUUUAAAACAGCCUUUUGGGCCAACCCGUCUCUGUAGUAACAUAGUGGGAAGAUUUGUUAAGUAGAAGUGAAAAGCCUAUCGAGCCUAGAAAUAGCUGGUUAUUCAUGAAAAGAAUAUAAGUUCUGCCUUAAGUUUCCCCCAUGGUCCCUAACAACAUUUUAAACUUAAGAGUUAUUUAAAUAAGGAACAGCUUAUUUAAGACAGGACACAACCUAGACAAUAGGGUAAAAUUUUAAUUACUCCCAAGUGGGCCUGAAAGCAGCCACCUUUUAAAAAGCGUCAAAGCUUAACCUUAACUCCCUAAAAUACCAUUAACCUUUAUGAACCCCUAAUUUAUAAUGAAUGACUCCAUAUAAUUAUGGAAGACACCAUGCUAGGAUUAGUAACAAGAAUUUAUAAUUCUCCAAAAUGCAAACAUAAACCAAUAUGGAUAAACCAUUGGUAAUUACCGAACCUGAACUUACUGCAAUAACAUCUACAAGAAAACCCUGCAGUAUUUACUCGUUAACCUAACACCAGCGCAUUUCAGGAAAGAUUAAUAAAAAGAGAAGGAAUUCGGCAAAUGACGACCCCGCCUGUUUACCAAAAACAUCGCCUCUUGACUUAUAAAUAAGAGGUCCAGCCUGCCCAGUGAAUUUUUAACGGCCGCGGUAUCCUAACCGCGCGAAGGUAGCAUAAUCACUUGUUCUUUAAAUGGGGACUCGUAUCAACGGCAUCACGAGGGUUAUACUGUCUCCUCUUUUUGAUCAGUGAAAUUGAUCUUCCCGUGAAGAAGCGGGAAUACUUAUAUAAGACGAGAAGACCCCAUGGAGCUUUAAACCAAAUAGCAACUUAACCAUAUAUUGCCCAAUAACUUUAAGCCCGUGCUACAAGGUUUUUGGUUGGGGUGACCGCGGAGUAAAGCACAUCCUCCACGACGGAAAGACUAUAAUCUUUAUUUAAGAACUACAAUUCUAGAAAUUAGUAUACUAACGUUUACUGACCCGACAAUCGAUCAACGGAACAAGUUACCCUGGGGAUAACAGCGCAAUCUACUUCAAGAGCCCAUAUCGACAAGUAGGCUUACGACCUCGAUGUUGGAUCAGGGUAUCCCAGUGGUGCAGCCGCUACUGAAGGUUCGU
rnacentral:misc_RNA from 1 species